rnacentral:rRNA from 1 species
CAACGAGCGCAACCCUUAUCCUUUGUUGCCAGCGGUCCGGCCGGGAACUCAAAGGAGACUGCCAGUGAUAAACUGGAGGAAGGUGGGGAUGACGUCAAGUCAUCAUGGCCCUUACGACCAGGGCUACACACGUGCUACAAUGGCAUAUACAAAGAGAAGCGACCUCGCGAGAGCAAGCGGACCUCAUAAAGUAUGUCGUAGUCCGGAUUGGAGUCUGCAACUCGACUCCAUGAAGUCGGAAUCGCUAGUAAUCGUAGAUCAGAAUGCUACGGUGAAUACGUUCCCGGGCCUUGUACACCCCGCCCGUCACACCAUGGGAGUGGGUUGCAAAAGAAGUAGGUAGCUUAACCUUCGGGAGGGCGCUUACCACUUUGUGAUUCAUGACUGGGG